GGUGGUGGUGAACGUGAUAUCCCUUUUUUUAAGGUUAUGUUGUGUGCAUGUAAGUUGAUGGAUGAUGGUGGUGGUUGUGAAUGUGAGAUCUGGUUGUUCUUUUUUAAGGUUAUGUUGUGUGCAUGUAAGUUGAUGGAUGAUGGUGGUGGUUGUGAAUGUGAUAUCUGGUUGUCCUUUUUUAAGGUUAUGUUGUGUGCAUGUAAGUUGAUGGAUGGUGGUGGUGAACGUGAUAUCCCUUCUUUAAGGUUAUAUUGUGUGCAUGUAAGUUGAUGGAUGGUGGUGGUGAACGUGAUAUCCCUUCUUUAAGGUUAUACUGUGUGCAUGUAAGUUGAUGGAUGGUGGUGGUGAACGUGAUAUCCCUUCUUUAAGGUUAUAUUGUGUGCAUGUAAGUUGAUGGAUGGUGGUGGUGAACGUGAUAUCCCUUCUUUAAGGUUAUAUUGUGUGCAUGUAAGUUGAUGGAUGGUGGUGGUGAACGUGAUAUCCCUUCUUUAAGGUUAUAUUGUGUGCAUGUAAGUUGAUGGAUGGUGGUGGUGAACGUGAUAUCCCUUCUUUAAGGUUAUAUUGUGUGCAUGUAAGUUGAUGGAUGGUGGUGGUGAACGUGAUAUCCCUUCUUUAAGGUUAUAUUGUGUGCAUGUAAGUUGAUGGAUGGUGGUGGUGAACGUGAUAUCCCUUCUUUAAGGUUAUGUUGUGUGCAUGUAAGUUGAUGGAUGGUGGUGGUGAACGUGAUAUCCCUUCUUUAAGGUUAUAUUGUGUGCAUGUAAGUUGAUGGAUGGUGGUGGUGAACGUGAUAUCCCUUCUUUAAGGUUAUGUUGUGUGCAUGUAAGUUGAUGGAUGGUG